rnacentral:rRNA from 1 species
UACGGGGGGAGCAAGCGUUGUUCGGAUUUACUGGGCGUAAAGGGCGCGUAGGCGGUCAGCACAAGUCAAUUGUGAAAUCUCCGAGCUUAACUCGGAAAGGUCAACUGAAACUGUGCGACUAGAGUGCGGAAGGGGCAACUGGAAUUCUUGGUGUAGCGGUGAAAUGCGUAGAUAUCAAGAGGAACACCUGCGGCGAAGGCGGGUUGCUGGGCCGACACUGACGCUGAAGCGCGAAAGCCAGGGGAGCGAACAGG